CGGGCCUACCAUGCAAGUCGAGCGGAUGAAGGGAGCUUGCUCCUGGAUUCAGCGGUGGACGGGUGAGUAAUGCCUAGGAAUCUGCCUGGUAGUGGGGGAUCAUGUCCGGAAACGGGCGCUAAUACCGCAUACGUCCUGAGGGAGAAAGUGGGGGAUCUUCGGACCUCACGCUAUCAGAUGAGCCUAGGUCGGAUUAGCUAGUUGGUGGGGUAAAGGCCUACCAAGGCGACGAUCCGUAACUGGUCUGAGAGGAUGAUCAGUCACACUGGAACUGAGACACGGUCCAGACUCCUACGGGAGGCAGCAGUGGGGAAUAUUGGACAAUGGGCGAAAGCCUGAUCCAGCCAUGCCGCGUGUGUGAAGAAGGUCUUCGGAUUGUAAAGCACUUUAAGUUGGGAGGAAGGGCAGUAAGUUAAUACCUUGCUGUUUUGACGUUACCAACAGAAUAAGCACCGGCUAACUUCGUGCCAGCAGCCGCGGUAAUACGAAGGGUGCAAGCGUUAAUCGGAAUUACUGGGCGUAAAGCGCGCGUAGGUGGUUCAGCAAGUUGGAUGUGAAAUCCCCGGGCUCAACCUGGGAACUGCAUCCAAAACUACUGAGCUAGAGUACGGUAGAGGGUGGUGGAAUUUCCUGUGUAGCGGUGAAAUGCGUAGAUAUAGGAAGGAACACCAGUGGGGAAGGCGACCACCUGGACUGAUACUGACACUGAGGUGCGAAAGCGUGGGGAGCAAAGCAGGAUUAGAUCCCCUGGUAGUCCACGCCGUAACUUAUAAGGGCGAGC
rnacentral:rRNA from 1 species